AUUAGGAUAAAUAAAAGAAACUGAGGCAAGUUAUUUUACAUCAUUUUAUUAUGUUUUGAGUUAUUUGCAGUGAUAAUUUGUGCAGCUUAGGUAGUUUUAGGCUGAAAAUUCUUGUACCCUCUAAUAAUUUCCCCUCAGAGAUUUUUUUUCACCCUUUUGGAAGUUUGAGGAUUAUAUAUCUUCAAACUACUAAAACAAACCUAUCUAUUCAAUUAGAAACUUAGGAUAGACUGAGGAUAGAGACACUACACACCAGGUAGAAUCCUAUCUCUAAUGUCCUUAAUAGUGACUGCAAGUAGCCCUUUAUUUAUCAAUAAUCACAUGCUAUCAACAAACAAAUGAGUAUAGAUAGAGAUAGAAAAGCAAAAAAAAAAAAAGGCAUUCCGGGUUGUCGAGCCUAACCACCCCUCUUUUUUCUCUUCUUUUUCUGCAGCAUCUAAGCUUUGUUGUAAUGUUUCAAAUUUGAAAUCACAUUUCAUAAAAAAAUUGAGAUCACAUAAAUGUCUUAAUGCCUGAUGAUCGAUGCGGUAAUGAAUAAAUUUGUGUUUGAAUGAAAUUAUUGAUGAAUAAUAUUAAUGAUUAAAUGAUAUUAAUGAGUUUUAUAAAAUAGUAAGCACAUUUACUCUGGCAAUUUGAAAAAAGGAAAAAAAAACAAAAACAGCUGUUUCGGUCAGUUUUGGCUAAAACUGACCAGAACCAACCGAAACCGACCGAAACUGACAGAAACUUGAAACUCUCUUGUAACACAAGCCUUCUAUUCCGUAAAACUGGUCUUACUUUUGUGAACAAUUGGAGAGAUUUUGCUUCAUGUAGAUAGACAUCAAUAAGAAGGUAAGGAAGAGCAUCACAUGUUUUGAAACUGGUUUUGAAUGUUUUGUUUUAGCUCCACCCUAAAGAAGUUUCACUUUCUAAACCUUCUAAAAGUAUGUGCAACAACUCAUUGGGAAUAUUGAAUAAGUUAUCAUCAGCUGAAAUCUUACGAACUUCAGUACUAAGCCUUAACUAAGAGGCUUUACCUGUCUCUCUGGGUCUGGUUUUAUGAUCCUCAUGUAUUGGGUUGUGCUCUGAUCACCAUUAAUGUUUGUGUUCUUUUUUUAGUUUUGUAACUUUUGGGUGAAUUUCAGAUUUCAUUAACUGGAAAAGAGACCUGGAGUCGUCAUCUCUGUUGUAUCUACCCUUGACAUACCUUAGAGGACUUGCAUCCUAAAUUUACCAGAUAAAUUUAGGGAAGGAUGUCUGCUAAACCAUGGAUACUUACAAAUCACAUCCCUUUCACUGUUUUCGCUCCCCUCUAACCAAAAAAAAAAAAACACAAGAACUGCUAAGGGACAAGGGAAAACAGUGCUGCUUUUCCCAGGUCGAUGUUUGGAAUUAUAUCAAUCUAUAGAAAGGAAAGUCACAAAUUAUUGUGCUUGGUUUUUCAAUACUGAAGAUAAAAGGAAGCAUUUUAUGGACAUCUGAACCUGGAAUAUUUAUUCUCCUUUUUUGUUUAACUUCUUGGUUUUCAUAUAUGAUGUUGAUCUAUUAACUCCCUGCUUAUUUCAGGUCCAAGCUCUUGUUGGUUUCGAAAAGACCAUCAAGCAUCUUGAUGAACAUUUAGUGGAAAUUGGCACAAAGGUUUGCAAAUAACCAUGAUCUUGGUCAGCCAUAUGAACUUGUCAAUUUUCCUCCACUUUUUAAAUGAUUUGGUCAAAAUUUGCAGGGAAUCACUAAACCUAAAGAGGUGAGGAAGUUCAAAGGGGAAGGCAUGCCUUUGCACCUAAGUACAAAGAAAGGAGAUUUGUAUGUGACGUAUGAAGUUUUGUUCCCCAAGUCACUAACCGAAGAUCAGAAGACUAGGAUCAAGGCAAUUCUUUCUUAAAGCUGGCGUUCUCUCCAUUGGUACUACUUGGUUCUCCUUUGUACUUUGACUAGGUUUAAUUGGAAGGUGUACAGCCCCUGGAAUUUUCCCAAGUGGCUCCUAUUUGAAUGAUGUCAUUGACUGUAAUCCUUGUUGGCUGCCUGUUUCCAUAGGAUGCUGUCACCUCUUCUCUUUUUUUCCCCCUUUCUUUUUUUUUAAAAUUUUUUUGGGCAAUAGAUGUACUUUAGAAAAGGAAACUGAUUAAUUGGAAUUUGAUCCUGAUCUUUCUCUCCCUUAUCUCAACUAGGGCGAAAGAAAAACAUAUAUUAUAGAAUCAUGCUUGGUUAUGUAAUUCCAUUUCCACGAGACAAUUUAUGUGGACACUGCUCUCAAAAUGUAUCCAAAAUGAUGAAUUAAGAUUUUCCUUGUUAUAUUUUGUUCAUUGUUAUAUUCAUUGUUUGGCUGGUUGAUAAUCUUGUUCUUCCCAUUUAUUCUCUUUUUAUUUCUCUUUGUUGGUCUAAAAAUCCUAUUAGUUAAUGUAGAACAUGCCGUGUCAUCCUUUGUAGUAUGACAUUGAUGGUUUUGCUACAUUAUGAUCUUAUUAUGUCUCCUUUGAGAUGUGGAUAUGUAAGUAGAUUUAGGCUCAAUGCUGAAAGAUCUUAUUGAACUCCUGUUAGCGAUCAGCAUCCAGGUGACAAACCAGUCCCCAAAUCAUGAAAUCAUCUUGAAAAAGGGAUGAGUUAUCUUUGAAGACCACUGAUUUGUUGUUCGCUGGCAGCUCUAAUCUCUAUUGAAUGGUGCCAUAUUGAUAUAUUUUUUGAGAUAGAACCUGAGAUAGAAUCCUGAUCUCCUAGCAUUCAAAGCACUCAAGGGCAAGGGUGCUGAUAUGCGAAGAUGCUUUGGUACAUAUUUUGUAAUCUAUCCACCAGCCGGCUGCUGAUGCCCAACUCGUUCUUGCCAGGGGGAUGGACAAAUUAUCCAACAUUUAACCUGCAUAGCCUGUGUACUGCUGAUUGCUUAUUUAACCCUCUUGCCUGCAUUGCAAGACCAUAUUUAUUAGAGUUGUUUGUAUUAUUUGUUUCUGUUUUUUUUUCCUUUUCCUUCUUAUAGCUGUUUAGGUAAAAUCAAAUAAAUAUAAAGNNNNNNNNNNNNNNNNNNNNUUAUUGUCAUGCAGUAAUUUUAAUGAGGGAUCAGUGCUAUGAGCCCGCAUAUUCCUGCGAAAUCAAAAGAACAUGGCGUUGCAUAGUUUAGCAUGUCAUUAACUGGCAGAUAGAUUAACAGAAAACCUACAGUAAUGAGUUUUUUGAUGCUUCUUUUUUUCUUAUGUAGUUUUUCUUUUUUAGUGGGAAAGAAGGGGCACUGCUGGUAUUUCCUUGUUGAUGCCAAACUUAUUUUUAUUGAUCAUACAGUGAUUGCAGUGUAGUUGCUUUAGUAUUGGAGACAUAGAUGCCUAUAGCCUACAAUGCCUGCAAUAUUGACCUUAUAAAUUAUCAAUAUAAUCUACAUGGUGAAGUUUGACUUCCAGGGAUUUUCUGAUGCUUGCCUAUUCUAUUUUCUCUCUUGGUUUGCCUUGAGGCAUGAGCUUCAUAAAAUUUUUACCUCUGAAGUUUUUGUUUUCUGCCACUUAUAAAGAAAUACUACACUUUCCAGAUUCUUUGGGCUUCAUAUCUGUUUGUAACCAGGAUUUUAAAACUCGGUUUGGUCUCCAAGUUGAGCUUUGGUUUCGGUAGUUUCACUCUAAGUUUCAAAGCUUUGGUAAAGUGAAGAAAAAAUCCAUAAAAAAUAAAAAUUAGGAUAAAUAAAAGAAACUGAGGCAAGUUAUUUUACAUCAUUUUAUUAUGUUUUGAGUUAUUUGCAGUGAUAAUUUGUGCAGCUUAGGUAGUUUUAGGCUGAAAAUUCUUGUACCCUCUAAUAAUUUCCCCUCAGAGAUUUUUUUUCACCCUUUUGGAAGUUUGAGGAUUAUAUAUCUUCAAACUACUAAAACAAACCUAUCUAUUCAAUUAGAAACUUAGGAUAGACUGAGGAUAGAGACACUACACACCAGGUAGAAUCCUAUCUCUAAUGUCCUUAAUAGUGACUGCAAGUAGCCCUUUAUUUAUCAAUAAUCACAUGCUAUCAACAAACAAAUGAGUAUAGAUAGAGAUAGAAAAGCAAAAAAAAAAAAAGGCAUUCCGGGUUGUCGAGCCUAACCACCCCUCUUUUUUCUCUUCUUUUUCUGCAGCAUCUAAGCUUUGUUGUAAUGUUUCAAAUUUGAAAUCACAUUUCAUAAAAAAAUUGAGAUCACAUAAAUGUCUUAAUGCCUGAUGAUCGAUGCGGUAAUGAAUAAAUUUGUGUUUGAAUGAAAUUAUUGAUGAAUAAUAUUAAUGAUUAAAUGAUAUUAAUGAGUUUUAUAAAAUAGUAAGCACAUUUACUCUGGCAAUUUGAAAAAAGGAAAAAAAAACAAAAACAGCUGUUUCGGUCAGUUUUGGCUAAAACUGACCAGAACCAACCGAAACCGACCGAAACUGACAGAAACUUGAAACUCUCUUGUAACACAAGCCUUCUAUUCCGUAAAACUGGUCUUACUUUUGUGAACAAUUGGAGAGAUUUUGCUUCAUGUAGAUAGACAUCAAUAAGAAGGUAAGGAAGAGCAUCACAUGUUUUGAAACUGGUUUUGAAUGUUUUGUUUUAGCUCCACCCUAAAGAAGUUUCACUUUCUAAACCUUCUAAAAGUAUGUGCAACAACUCAUUGGGAAUAUUGAAUAAGUUAUCAUCAGCUGAAAUCUUACGAACUUCAGUACUAAGCCUUAACUAAGAGGCUUUACCUGUCUCUCUGGGUCUGGUUUUAUGAUCCUCAUGUAUUGGGUUGUGCUCUGAUCACCAUUAAUGUUUGUGUUCUUUUUUUAGUUUUGUAACUUUUGGGUGAAUUUCAGAUUUCAUUAACUGGAAAAGAGACCUGGAGUCGUCAUCUCUGUUGUAUCUACCCUUGACAUAC
rnacentral:lncRNA from 1 species